UACGUAGGGUGCAAGCGUUGUCCGGAUUUAUUGGGCGUAAAGAGCUCGUAGGCGGUCUGUCGCGUCGGAUGUGAAAACCCAGGGCUCAACCCUGGGCCUGCAUUCGAUACGGGCAGACUAGAGUGUGGCAGGGGAGACUGGAAUUCCUGGUGUAGCGGUGAAAUGCGCAGAUAUCAGGAGGAACACCGGUGGCGAAGGCGGUUCUCUGGGCCUGUUCUGACGCUGAGGAGCGAAAGCGUGGGGAGCGAACAGG
rnacentral:rRNA from 1 species